UGGGGAAUUUUGGACAAUUGGGCGAAAGCCUGAUCCAGCAAUGCCGCGUGUGUGAAGAAGGCCUUCGGGUUGUAAAGCACUUUUGUCCGGAAAGAAAUCCUUGGCUCUAAUACAGUCGGGGGAUGACGGUACCGGAAGAAUAAGCACCGGCUAACUACGUGCCAGCAGCCGCGGUAAUACGUAGGGUGCAAGCGUUAAUCGGAAUUACUGGGCGUAAAGCGUGCGCAGGCGGUUUGCUAAGACCGAUGUGAAAUCCCCGGGCUCAACCUGGGAACUGCAUUGGUGACUGGCAGGCUAGAGUAUGGCAGAGGGGGGUUAGAAUUCCACGUGUAGCAGUGAAAUGCGUAGAGAUGUGGAGGAAUACCGAUGGCGAAGGCAGCCCCCUGGGCCAAUACUGACGCUCAUGCACGAAAGCGUGGGGGAGCAAAACAGGAUUAGAUACCCCUGGUAGUCCACGCCCUAAACGAUGUCAACUAGUUGUUGGGGAUUCAUUUCCUUAGUAACGUAGCUAACGCGUGAAGUUGACCGCCUGGGGAGUACGGUCGCAAGAUUAAAACUCAAA
rnacentral:rRNA from 1 species